UACGAAGGGGGCUAGCGUUGUUCGGAAUCACUGGGCGUAAAGCGCACGUAGGCGGACUUUCAAGUCAGGGGUGAAAUCCCGGGGCUCAACCUCGGAAUUGCCUUUGAUACUGUAGGUCUCGAGUCCGGAAGAGGUGGGUGGAAUUCCUAGUGUAGAGGUGAAAUUCGUAGAUAUUAGGAAGAACACCGGUGGCGAAGGCGGCCAACUGGACGAAUACUGACGCUGAGACACGAAAGCGUGGGGAGCAAACAGG
rnacentral:rRNA from 1 species